GGGAGGCGCGCGCCUGGGAAGAAGGAGGAUCUGCGUCGCCGGCGGUGGGGGGUGGGGCGGCGCGCUGAACACGUUUGGGGGCGGAGGCGUCGCGUGCGAGAGAGAGGGCGCGGGGGGUGACCUAAACGCGACUAAUUUCCAUCGGCCGACUUCAAGCUGACGAAAAUUAAUGGCAAAAUUAGCCCGUGGACACUCUUCGAUUGGUGCUUUUGCUGCAGCACACUAACAAAAAAUGGUUUGGCCACAGCACAUUGGCCAACUUGUCUAUUUGCUGCUAGACACCGGACUCCAUAUUUUACUCAGUUAAAUUGUAAAGGCAGCUGGAAUGACAGAUUUACCCCGUUGCCUUUUCCUCUCCCAACUCAUUCGCUACUUGCCUUCUCAGGGAUGGCUGCUCGCAAGAGAGAAGCGACGGGGGUCGCUGCUGCAUCCCAGGCAGCGCCGCCCUGGCCACCGGCGCGCAGCCCCUCCGGCGGAUCUCCUCCCCCAACCCACCUCACUCGCGGCGCAGGGUUGUGCUUGAUGGGCGACAACAACUGGAGGUUGGAGGCACGAGACCUUGGCCUACCAGAGGUACAGUGCGACCACACCAAGCGGCAGUUGGUAGAAGAUGGAGGCUCCACGAUUUCUCAACGAGAUUUUUCCAGAGGAUCAAAUGAUCUUUCAUGGGUUUUCGAUGGGAUGGAUCCCAAUUCGUCCUAUAGGCUUGUUGUGCGUGUCGGUGCUUAUGUGAAAUUGACUGAUGAUGGCGGCAGCAAAACAUGCCUUGUGUGUUGCAGGGAAGCACCAAAACCUUAGAUGCCCAAAUUAUUGCAGUAUCUUCAUCUGAAACUACACCAUCCCUUUUGGAGCCUCUAGUUUAGGAAACUGUCGAAGUAGCCCAGUGACAAGAAGUAUGUCAAGAAAAAUACUGGAAUAUGACUUGUCUACACCAACUAGAGCCAUGACACUAGUUUCUACACCAAGCCCUGUCACAAGAAGUCGUAAGAGGAUACUUGAACUUGAAGACACUAUAGAGCCUGUUCAAUGUCUUGCUUUAUCCCCGAUUCCUAUCAACGGCAAGGGAAAGCCAAAAAAAAUGAAGGUUGUCAGAUCCAAGAAAACAUAAGUUAUGUAGUGAUAUUUUUCUGUAAUGUUGCUGUUCAAAGCAUGACCUUGUAAUAUGUGGUCUUGUAAUGUGUGGAUCUAUGGUUGGAGCAUGAUAUUUUGUUGGACCUGCUACUUCCGUUUGAAUCUGUAAUAUUAUUUUAAGAUAAAAUAUUGUUCACUUGCUCUAU